rnacentral:lncRNA from 1 species
CACCGCGCUCCGUGGCGCCGGACGAUGGAUCCCUGCCAGAGCUGGGGGGUGGUGGUCGUCUUGUUCUGCUUCCUCCUGCCAAGGGCACACCCCGGGCCUUGCCGGGUGUCCAUCUCCCCUGAGGAACCGACGGUGGAGUUUGGCACCUCCAUCCGCUUCAACUGCACCAGUUCCUGCCGUAACUACAGCCGGCUGGACUGGGAGGUCUCCGUCACCAAAAUGGGGGUGCAGGGACCCGGCUGGGUGUCGCUCGACAUCCCCAACGUCACCGACUGGCGCUUGGAGCUCCGGUGCUUUGGCACUUUCGGGCAGCAGCGGAAUACCACCACCACCACCCUCCACGCUUACCGGUUGGGGUCCCCCAAAAUUACACUGGACGGUGGCGCGGUGGCCGGCAAAGAGGCGCAUAUCACCUGCACUGUGGAUGCCCAAGUGGCCCCGCCCAACCCCCCGAAUCUCUUCCUGGUGCUGUGGGUUGGGGGGCUCCCCCCCAGCACCGACCCAGGUCCCUUCGUGAGGCUGAAUUUCACGGCGCAGCCGGAGCAGCACGGCCAGGAGGUGACGUGCAAGGCUACGUUACAGCUCGGGCACCUCACGGUCAACACCAGCGCCACGACGUCGCUGGGGGUCUGGGCCGCCCCCCACAACGUCCAGGUGUGGGCACCGCGCACCGUCUUCGCCGCCGGUGACAACCUGACGGUGAUGUGCCGGGCAGAGGGGAACCCCCCGCCGCGGCUGCGCUGGGAGCUGCCCACCAACGCCAGCUGGGAGCUGCGGGACGGCGGGGCCACCCUCACCAUCGCGGCCGCCCUCCAGGAGCACGGUGGCACCUACCGCUGCCUGGCCGAGAACCCCUACGGCACCGGCACCGCCAGCGUCAACCUCCUCUUCCAAGGAUCCUCCCGCAGCCCCGCGAUCCCAGUGGCCGUGGCCGUGGCCGUGGUCACCGUACUGGCCGCUCUCGCCAUUUCGUGGUGGUUUUACCGUGCCCGAGGCUGGAAUCUGAUGCCAGCUGGAUCCCAGCCCAGCUAAUCCUGCCCGGCCGGGCUGGAUGUGGGAGCAAAGAAUGAUUCUUCUCCAUUUCUCCGCGUAUUUUUCCCACUCUUUCCCGGUUUGUCAGCACCGUGCAGGUGCGCGGGCAGCGUGCAGGGAGGGGCGAGCGAGGCGCUGGUUCCGAGUGUCGCUCCCGGCACUGAUUUGGCUCUGAAGGGGAAACCCUGGGACAGGUCUGGGCGCAGCUGGAGCGAGCGAGGCCGUUUCCUGGCACUCACGUGGCUGAGCGUUAGCGAGCUGCUCUGGCUAGCGGGAGGGCAGAGGGUUGUGGGGGGGGCGGUAUGAGGCCAUGCGGGGGCUGCUGCUGGGCUUCUGCCAGCCCCUGCCUUUGUCUCAGCCUGUCCUGGUAGGUUUGGAGCUCGCAGGGAGCGUGCAGUGGGGGCUUGGAGCUCACGACGAGCGUGCAGUGGGGGCUUGGAGCUCACGAUGAGCGUGCAGCGGGGGCUUGGAGCUCACGAUGAGCGUGCAGUGGGGGCUUGGAGCUCACGAUGAGUGUGCAGUGGGGGCUUGGAGCUCACGACGAGCGUGCAG